AAUGGAUUGAUUGAACUUUCAUGGAACACUUCCAUUCAAAGGAAUCAAGGAAACUUGAAAUAGUUUAUUACUGAACUGAAAUUCCACACUGUGUUCUUCUAAAUGUUGAAUUAUUGUUGGAAAUGGAGAGUCUUGUAUUUACACAGUCAGUCCAGUUUUCAUGUCAACCUGUUCUCUGGCUGCAGCUGCAAACUGACCAAAACUAACAAUGUGUUUGAGACCCACGGGGGCGUAUACGCUCCCAAACAUCUUGUUGUCUUUAGAGCGUCAUUACUCCUCAACAGUAGCAAAACUAAUAUGAAAAGUUGUAAAAAAAAAAAAAAAAACUAACUAAAAAAAAAAACGUGGCUAAUCUCACCCUCUGUCCAGCACUUCGCUCAGUCUUUCUGUGUGUAUAUCUUUAUAUACAGUCUAUGGUGUAUGUCAGUCAGUUCUCAUCCACCGUCUUUGUUGGUGAUGUAAGAGCCACAUAUCUGAAUCAGACACUUCUAUUUGCUACAGUGGAUGAUGUCACUGCCAAUCAGAAUGUCUGAUUUGAAGAAGCUGACAAUGGCGACUCUGAGCCCGAGUUGAGCUAUUCAGAGGAUGAGAGAAAUUUCACCAAUGUAUAAAUCCUUACAAGGACAAUGUGGAAGCUGACAAGGUGGGCCACCAACAGAGUGGAAGGAGGAGGAGAAGAGGAAGGCCGUCUCAGCCUGACCAACCACAGAUAUCCCCUCCGGGACCAGGAAGAAUACCCCAUUCUGCUGCAAGAGUGUGCGUGUGUGUGAGUGGAUGUGCUGGCAAGUAAUGGAGAACAGGUAGACACCACAGAUUGGACCAACAGAGUUGAUUGCAGCCACACGAUUGGUCCACCGGAUGACAUCAGCCCUUUUGAACCCCAGCGGUCACUUUGCCAUUGCCAGCAUGUGCCAGAGCUAGACCUGUGUAUGCAUUGUGUAUGUGAAUCUUUGUGAGUAGAGAAAUGGCAACUUAGUGAUUCUGAACUUUGUUUGUGGCUAACUUUGAUUCGCUGACCUCAGCCAUUGUUUGUUGUAAAUAGUGUUAUCUUGUGUAAUCAGAAAUUUGUAUAUAUUGUCCAUGCAAUUAGCAGUACAAGUAGGAGUGAGAAGCCCUUUUUGUUUAAAUACCUUGUUUUCUCCUGUUUUUGGUGAUAGAAGCCUAGGUUAGCGCUUUGUCUUUUCUUUACAUUUUGUUUUGGUUAGGGAAGUUUUAGGAUUUGCCAAGAGUCGUUUUGUUUGUUUGUUGUUU